UGUUUUAAGGUUUGCCUGCAACGUUGGUACUUUUCGAUAUAUAAGUGGGUUUGCGGGUGCAGUUUGGGCACUCGGUCUCUAAAAGGUUUGCCAUCACUGAUAUAGGGCUCUUUUGCACCCAUGUCAUGACCUCAUUGUAUCUUCACAAGGAAAUCGCGCAUUGGAACCAUUUUGUAAAGUAAUGACUGAGCCAAAGCAUCUUGUUGGUGUAGUUAGAAGUAGGUGGAACUAGAGGUCCAAGGCUGUGUCAAGCUCUGUAGCAAUUCUGUAGCUUGAGGGGAAGGGUGAGCCCCCCACCUUCAGCUUUAUUUAGGCUCCAUAAUUCUGCCCUAAAAACUGCCAACAAGGAAUAAUUGGGUUUUGUUUGCUGGAAUGCUAAAAGAGGAGUGGGAAGAGGUCAGAUUCAGAUCACCUGGUAAAACUCUGUGUGAUUUGCAGUAUAUUAGCAAGAGCUCCUGACUCUCAACUCUAUAAUCAACAACAUGAGUUUUCCUACGUCAAUUAGGUUGCUGAAAGGGUAAGAAUCUUGGAAUAACUAGACAUAGAUUUUUAUGUGAAUGCAGGGUGAGCCCCCUUCCAUUCUCGUGCCAAAAACAAAUUCCUAGGCUCAGGGACAC